rnacentral:rRNA from 1 species
AUUGAACGCUGGCGGCAGGCCUAACACAUGCAAGUCGAGCGAGCGGCGGACGGGUGAGUAAUGAAUGGGGAUCUGCCUGCUGGCGGGGGAUAAGUAAUGGAAACGGUAGCUAAUAACGCAUACCAUCAGAUGAACCCAUAUGGGAUUAGCUAGCAGGUGAGGUAAAGGCUUACCUAGGCGACGAUCCCUAGCUAGUAUGAGAGGAGGAGCAGCCACACUGGGACGGAGACACGGCCCAGACUCCGACGGGAGGCAGCAGUGGGGAAUAUUGCCCAAUGGGCGUCAGCCUGGUGCAGCCAUGCCGCGUGUAUGAAGUAGUCCUUCGGGUUGUAAAGUACUUUCAGUCGGGAGGCGUUACCGACAGAAUAAGCACCGGCUAACUCCGUGCCAGCAGCCGCGGUAAGAC